rnacentral:rRNA from 1 species
UACGUAGGUGGCAAGCGUUGUCCGGAUUUACUGGUGUAAAGGGCGUGCAGCCGGGAGUGCAAGUCAGAUGUGAAAUCCCGCGGCUCAACCGCGGAACUGCAUUUGAAACUGUGCUUCUUGAGUGCUGGAGAGGCAGACGGAAUUCCUAGUGUAGCGGUGAAAUGCGUAGAUAUUAGGAGGAACACCAGUGGCGAAGGCGGUCUGCUGGACAGUAACUGACGGUGAGGCGCGAAAGCGUGGGGAGCAAACAGG